rnacentral:rRNA from 1 species
GUACACUCCUGCGGGAGGCAGCAGUGGGGAAUUUUGGACAAUGGGCGAAAGCCUGAUCCAGCCAUGCCGCGUGCAGGAUGAAGGCCUUCGGGUUGUAAACUGCUUUUGUACGGAACGAAACGGCCUUUUCUAAUAAAGAGGGCUAAUGACGGUACCGUAAGAAUAAGCACCGGCUAACUACGUGCCAGCAGCCGCGGUAAUACGUAGGGUGCAAGCGUUAAUCGGAAUUACUGGGCGUAAAGCGUGCGCAGGCGGUUAUGUAAGACAGUUGUGAAAUCCCCGGGCUCAACCUGGGAACUGCAUCUGUGACUGCAUAGCUAGAGUACGGUAGAGGGGGAUGGAAUUCCGCGUGUAGCAGUGAAAUGCGUAGAUAUGCGGAGGAACACCGAUGGCGAAGGCAAUCCCCUGGACCUGUACUGACGUUCAUGCACGAAAGCGUGGGGAGCAAACAGGAUUAGAAACCCUUGUAGUCCCAUG